AACAAGCUGAACAAAACUAUCAUCCAAGGCAAACAUGCCCUCCCAAACUGGACCAUCCAUGGGCUCGUGGAGUUCAUCUCUGGUGGGCCUCAGCCAGGUGGCAUGUUCUUCCCUGUCCCCCAUGGUGUCCAUGCAGUUCGUCUAGGCAAUGAGGCCUCCAUCUCCCAGAACAUCACUGUUAAGCCGCGUUCCUUGUACUCCCUCACCUUCACUACCACAAGGACGUGCGCGCAAGAUGAGGUACUGCGUGUCUCGGUCCCACCGCUCACUGGUGAUCUCCCUAUCCAGACUCUAUAUAGCACCAAAGGCGAUGCAUAUGCCUGGAGCUUCGUCGCAUCAAAUGCCACUGUUACGAUAGUGUUCCACAACCCUGG
rnacentral:misc_RNA from 1 species